rnacentral:misc_RNA from 1 species
GGGGUUGUCUAUGAUAUAUUGGACCAAGCUCUUGUCCAACGGUUGAGCAAGAGAAACAUAUGUAACAAGGGAUCCGAAGACACCGAUUGCCCAUAACGCUUGAAUGAAGCGUUUAAUAGGAGUGACAUAAAUAUGAAUUAGGAAUAACGAUAAACCUAGACCUCCGGCUCCAGUAGCAUACAAGAUGUCAAUAUCUUGCUUUAUAAUAUCCGCUAAGAUAUUGCCUUCAGGAAGAAAAGCAGUAGAAGCGACA